UACGGGAGGCAGCAGUGAGGAAUAUUGGUCAAUGGGCGAGAGCCUGAACCAGCCAAGUAGCGUGCAGGAUGACUGCCCUAUGGGUUGUAAACUGCUUUUAUCAGGGGAUAAAGUGAGGGACGCGUCCCUUUUUGUAGGUACCCGAUGAAUAAGGACCGGCUAAUUCCGUGCCAGCAGCCGCGGUAAU
rnacentral:rRNA from 1 species